ACAUUUCCCCAAAAAAACAAUCAAAGAAGAAACAAUGUUCCAAACAAGACCGUUAAGACAAAAAAACAGCCAGAAAAAUUCCCCCAUGCACUGAUAAUGUUUCCCAAACCGGUCAUGAAAUAUCUACA